AUUAAACGCUGGCGGCAUGCCUUACACAUGCAAGUCGAACGGCAGCACGGGGGGAACCCUGGUGGCGAGUGGCGAACGGGUGAGUAAAGCAUCGGAACGUGCCCUGGAGUGGGGGAUAACGUAGCGAAAGUUACGCUAAUACCGCAUAUUCUGUGAGCAGGAAAGCAGGGGAUCGCAAGACCUUGCGUUCGAGGAGCGGCCGAUGUCGGAUUAGCUAGUUGGUGGGGUAAAGGCCUACCAAGGCGACGAUCCGUAGCGGGUCUGAGAGGAUGAUCCGCCACACUGGGACUGAGACACGGCCCAGACUCCUACGGGAGGCAGCAGUGGGGAAUUUUGGACAAUGGGCGCAAGCCUGAUCCAGCCAUGCCGCGUGAGUGAAGAAGGCC
rnacentral:rRNA from 1 species